rnacentral:rRNA from 1 species
UACGUAGGGGGCAAGCGUUGUCCGGAAUCAUUGGGCGUAAAGAGCGUGUAGGCGGCCCGAUAAGUCCGCUGUGAAAGUCCAGGGCUCAACCCUGGGAUGCCGGUGGAUACUGUCGGGCUCGAGUCCGGAAGAGGAGUGUGGAAUUCCUGGUGUAGCGGUGAAAUGCGCAGAUAUCAGGAAGAACACCAAUGGCGAAAGCAGCUUUCUGGGACGGUACUGACGCUGAGGUGCGAAAGCGUGGGGAGCGAACAGG